CCCCUUAUAGCACUAUAUAAUAAGAUAUAAGAUAUAACUUGCUUCCUUGAAAUGGAGAGUCUUAUACAAAUAAAUUACAUUCCCCUCUAACGCUAUGGAAAAAAACCCCACGUAAAGACAAAAAAUAAAGGAAGGGAAACAGAUUUUUUUUUUAAAAGUUAUUCUAUUUUAUAGUCAAAGUGAGGUGAUAUGUAACAGGAACUUUUAAAGGAAACAGAAAUGUGUUGUGAUAGAUUCAUGAUAACUACAUUUUAAAAGUCUCCUGGGGCCAACACAAAUUGAUUUUCACAAAGUUUGAAAUGAUUUUUGUACCAUAUGAUAAAGUAACAACA
rnacentral:lncRNA from 1 species